rnacentral:rRNA from 1 species
GACGAACGCUGGCGGCGUGCUUAACACAUGCAAGUCGAACGAAGUGGCGAACGGGUGAGUAACGCGUAAUCAACCUGCCCUUCAGUGGGGGACAACAGUUGGAAAAGACUGCUAAUACAGCAUACUGAAGGAGGGGAAUGCGUCUGAUUAGCUAGUUGGGGGGGGAAAGGCCCACCAAGGCGAUGAUCAGGAGCCGGUCUGAGAGUAUGAACGGCCACAUUGGGACUGAGACACGGCCCAGACUCCUACGGGAGGCAGCAGUGGGGAAUCUUCCGCAAUGGACGAAAGUCUGACGGAGCAACGCCGCGUGAGUGAUGACGGCCUUCGGGUUGUAAAGCUCUGUUAAUCGGGACGCGGUACCGGAAUAGAAAGCCACGGCUAACUACGUGCCAGCAGCCGCGGUAAUAC